rnacentral:rRNA from 1 species
UACGUAGGGGGCGAGCGUUGUCCGGAUUUAUUGGGCGUAAAGAGCGUGUAGGCGGCCAGGUAGGUCUGCUGUGAAAACUCGAGGCUCAACCUCGAGACGUCGGCGGAAACCAUCUGGCUAGAGUCCGGAAGAGGAGAGUGGAAUUCCUAGUGUAGCGGUGAAAUGCGCAGAUAUCAGGAAGAACACCCGUGGCGAAGGCGGCUCUCUGGGACGGUACUGACGCUGAGACGCGAAAGCGUGGGGAGCAAACAGG